UAGAAAUAAAUGGUACGCCGAAUGGUUGAUAUUAUUGGCAUUCCAUUCCACUUGUAAUCAUUUUAAACUGUAUGAUACUUGUACAAUUAUAUGAUUGACAGAAAUAAAACCACGAUCAUAUAUAAUAAUUUGCAGAUUAUACAUGUUAUAAUAAGGAUUACCUGAUAUCAUAUUAUUGUAUACGUAUCUCACCAUAAAUAAUUUAGAUAUUCACCAACACAGAAAUGAAGUUGUUUCUUUUUCAGUGUGAUAGUGACAACCGCAUCGGCAACAGAUCCAACUGCCAUUAAAGUUUUUUUUUCUCGAAGUUAAUGGCGGUGUGCAUUGUGUUUGUGCGAAAGAAAAACUAAAAUUAAACGGAUUAUAAUGCAUAAAUAUCAACCUCAUACCGGGAAACAGUACGCCAUUGCGCGAGCGGAUGUGGUUGAGCAGCGAAAAAACGCUUGCGAAGGAACAUGCAGCACCAUCGAAAUCUGCGAAGAGGCACUGAUUAUCAUCAAAAAUCAAUCAACAAAAUUUCAAUAUAAUAUAAGAUGAUAAAUAAUAAUUAUAUAAGAUGGUAAAUUAAAUAUAAAUAAAACUUG